rnacentral:rRNA from 1 species
CAAUAGCGUAUAUUUAAGUUGUUGCAGUUAAAAAGCUCGUAGUUGGAUUCCGGUUAAGAGCGACCGGUCCGCCGUUUGGUGUGCACUGGUUGGUUUUAACUUCCUGUAGAGGACGUGCUCUGGGUUUAACGACCUGGACUCGGAGUCUACGUGGUUACUUUGAAAAAAUUAGAGUGUUCAAAGCGGGCUUACGCUUGAAUAUUUCAGCAUGGAAUAACACUAUAGGACUCCUGUCCUAUUUCGUUGGUCUCGGGACGGGAGUAAUGAUUAAGAGGAACAGUUGGGGGCAUUCGUAUUUCAUUGUCAGAGGUGAAAUUCUUGGAUUUAUGAAAGACGAACUUCUGCGAAAGCAUUUGCCAAGGAUGUUUUCAUUAA